rnacentral:lncRNA from 1 species
CUGAGAUGUAAGCCACAACAUAGAUAUAUAUAAUGGGUUAAAUGAUAAACGCAAUUGCAAAAGUAAACAGCAAAAAAAAAAAUUUGAUCUGAGAUUUUUUGUUAUUCCCAUGGGGCUUGGAAGAGCCACACCUACCAAGUUCAUCCUUCUCAUUGCGGUACUCUCUGGGGGCAGUUGCAGGCACCCAGGUAGCACUAAGUGCUUCUGGCCUUGAAUGGACAACCUGGGCACAAGUGCUAUAAAUACUUCAAUAGACCAGGGGGCAGUUGCAGGCACCCAGGUAGCACUAAGUGCUUCUGGCCUUGAAUGGACAACCUGGGCACAAGUGCUAUCAGGGGGAUCGGCCAAUUCAUUCCAUGGUGACAAGGGUUGGGGGCUGUCAACCUCUAUGGCCCUUUUGGACCACGAACUCUGCUAAAAAAAAAGGAAUAAUAAGAAGAAGAUUUAUAGAGGACGAAAGCUACUGCAAACCCUAUCUGCAUUCCUAACAUCAGAAGUUGGAUGGGGAUGUUGGGAGUUUACGAUUCUGGAGUUUGUUAAUAACUUAGACAGAAUUUACACACAUGACCGCGCACAAUUCAGUUUCUGAUGCCCAUAAAUAUGCAAAAUGAGUUAUCUUGUUCAUGGUCUCAGCGUCAAUUAGGCAGGUCAAACUAAAUUUGGUGGGUUAAAGGCUUAAAGCUGGUUUAGACAAUGAAUGCAUCAUGAUCCAAGCUAAAAGUUUACUCGAGUCAAAGAUAGGUUGGGUCAAUCUCGACUAAACAAUGGGUCAAACCUAACCUUACCCAAGUCAAAACCAUUAAAAUGUGUGUGCACAGAGAGAUACAGC